rnacentral:rRNA from 1 species
AUUGAACGCUGGCGGCAUGCCUUACACAUGCAAGUCGAACGGCAGCACGGGUGCUUGCACCUGGUGGCGAGUGGCGAACGGGUGAGUAAUACAUCGGAACGUACCUUAUCGUGGGGGAUAACGCAGCGAAAGCUGUGCUAAUACCGCAUACGCCCUGAGGGGGAAAGCGGGGGAUCGCAAGACCUCGCGCGAUUAGAGCGGCCGAUGCCUGAUUAGCUUGUUGGUGGGGUAAAAGCCCACCAAGGCGACGAUCAGUAGCUGGUCUGAGAGGACGACCAGCCACACUGGGACUGAGACACGGCCCAGACUCCUACGGGAGGCAGCAGUGGGGAAUUUUGGACAAUGGGGGCAACCCUGAUCCAGCAAUGCCGCGUGAGUGAAGAAGGCCUUCGGGUUGUAAAGCUCUUUUGUCAGGGAAGAAACACCGGCUCUAACACAGUCUGGGAAUGACGGUACCUGAAGAAUAAGCACCGGCUAACUACGUGCCAGCAGCCGCUGUAA